CGCGAUGGGCCAAUAAAAAUCCCCAAAAACA
rnacentral:tRNA from 1 species